UUUUCUUUUUUUUUAAAAAAAAACAUAAUUAAAAAGACAAAAUACUUGUAUGGGAAACAGAAAAAAAAAAAAAGAGUAAGAAUAAGAUGAAAAAAUUUUAAAAAGUGAAAUACUUCAAGGCUGGGACUUGAACUCUGCCAAAUGUUUUUUUUUUUGAAAUUGAAAUGAGUAAAUGUUAGAUAAAUGGCAUUGUUCCAAUUUCAAAAAGGAGUUUUGUGUUUUCCAAAUGGAAAACAUGCAUUUUAUUUUAAAAGAAAAGAGUGGAAAACAUGUUACAUCUAUUUUCCAAGGGUCAUUAAUAACUAUGAAAGAUUAGAAUAUUGUUUUUCAAUUAUCUAUUGAAAAAUAUCACAUUUGAAAAUAGAACUAUUUUUUUUCUAGUUUUCAUGGAAAAAAUUUUCUAGAAAAAUGUCAUAGUUUUGUACAACUAAACUCACCCUUAGUUUUCCUUUUGAUUUGGGAAUCAUUUUCUAUCGACCGCUUUUCCUGCUGUCCAAAAAUAACUAAAACUGUGGAAAACAUUUUGCAAUAAACUAUUCUCCCCAAGCUCAAUGGUGGCCAUAGCUAGCUGCAUAUAUGUUGAACUUGAGAGACACAGGAAUGACUCUCCCUCCCUCACAUAUGUAAAAAAAAAAAAAAAGAGAAACUG
rnacentral:misc_RNA from 1 species